GAUGAACGCUGGCGGCGUGCCUAAUACAUGCAAGUCGAGCGAACGGACGAGAAGCUUGCUUUUCUGAUGUUAGCGGCGGACGGGUGAGUAACACGUGGAUAACCUACCUAUAAGACUGGGAUAACUUCGGGAAACCGGAGCUAAUACCGGAUAAUAUUUUGAACCGCAUGGUUCAAAAGUGAAAGACGGUCUUGCUGUCACUUAUAGAUGGAUCCGCGCUGCAUUAGCUAGUUGGUAAGGUAACGGCUUACCAAGGCAACGAUGCAUAGCCGACCUGAGAGGGGGAUCGGCCACACGGGAACUGAGACACGGUCCAGACACCUACGGGAGGCAGCAGUAGGGAAUCUUCCGCAAUGGGCGAAAGCCUGACGGAGCAACGCCGCGUGAGUGAUGAAGGUCUGCGGAUCGUAAAACUCUGUUAUUAGGGAAGAACAUAUGUGUAAGUAACUGUGCACAUCUUGACGGUACCUAAUCAGAAAGCCACGGCUAACUACGUG
rnacentral:rRNA from 1 species